rnacentral:rRNA from 1 species
AUUGAACGCUGGCGGCAGGCUUAACACAUGCAAGUCGAGCGGGGUGAUGGUGCUUGCACUAUCACUUAGCGGCGGACGGGUGAGUAAUGCUUAGGAAUCUGCCUAUUAGUGGGGGACAACAUCUCGAAAGGGAUGCUAAUACCGCAUACGUCCUACGGGAGAAAGCAGGGGAUCACUUGUGACCUUGCGCUAAUAGAUGAGCCUAAGUCGGAUUAGCUAGUUGGUGGGGUAAAGGCCUACCAAGGCGACGAUCUGUAGCGGGUCUGAGAGGAUGAGCAGCCACACUGGGACUGAGACACGGCCCAGACUCCUACGGGAGGCAGCAGUGUGGAAUAUUGGACAAUGGGGGGAACCCUGAUCCAGCCAUGCCGCGUGUGUGAAGAAGGCCUUAUGGUUGUAAAGCACUUUAAGCGAGGAGGAGGCUCUUUUGGUUAAUACCCAAGAUGAGUGGACGUUACUCGCAGAAUAAGCACCGGCUAACUCUGUGCCAGCCGCCGCGGUAA